GGGGGACGACUGAUUGGGCGGGCCCGUGCGUGGACCCGAUCAGCUGUUGGCGGCGCGGUGCCGCCAUCUGGUGACGGGUGUUCGCUGGAAAAUGCAAAAAAUUGACACCCACCCCGCCACCACCAGCACGAGCAGCUGUGAACGUUCUGCUACGGGCGGACGGACGGAGGGACCGUCGCGGCGCAGAAGUCUGUGCGUGCGUUGAUGUAUCAGUGUUGGUCGUGUGACUUUUGUGUGCGCGCGCGCUUACGGAACCGCUCUCUCUCUCACUCUUGUUCGUUCGCUCCUCCGUGUUAUUCGUUUGUGCGUGCGUUGGCGACCGAGUGUUCGUGCAUAUGUGUUUGUGUGCGUACGCUGACGAUCCACUGCGGUCCGUUCGCGCGAUGAUAAGUACUGCUCGCAGUGGUGUCGGUCGCACUAGUGCAAUAGUUCGCAAUCGUUAUUAUUAUUAUUAUUAUUAUUAUUAUUAUUACUGCUGCAAUCGGUUAUCGUCGUAACGUCUUUCUCGUUUUGCAAUUAUUUUUCUUUUUUUUUUCUUCGCGGUGUCCGAGGCAGCAGUAGAGUUACGCGCGCUCGUACGAGACCACUACGACGUUAUUGUACCGUUAUUUUUCUUUCGCCGUUUCGAUACCGCCACGACGACGACAACGAGCAGAACAAGACGCGGUACGCGCGCGUGAUAUUGUUACAGCGGCGCGGCUGAGGCUACGACCGCCUGGACAAAUGGCGGCCAGCCCGAACAGCAGCAACACGACAGUGGUGAGCGGUUCGGACUGCGGCAGCGGCGGUGCGUCGGCCGCAGGCAGUGGUUCCGUGGCCAACGGCGCGGCAGCCAGCAGCAGCCCGUUCGGGCAGCAGGGCGAGGACCGGUUGAAAUACCUGUACCCGAUGGUGGACGAGGACGACACACCGUUGCCCCGGAGCUGGAACUCAAAAGACAAGUUCACCAACCUCGGGCUGUCACAAAACAACAUUCGUGUGCACUACAAAGGUCAUGGCAAAACACAUAAAGAUGCAGCUAGUGUUAGAGCAACACAUCCUAUUCCAGCUUCUUGUGGACUAUAUUAUUUUGAAGUUAAAAUUGUUUCAAAAGGACGUGAUGGUUACAUGGGUGUUGGACUUUCAGCCCAAGGAGUCAAUAUGAAUCGUUUACCAGGUUGGGAUAAACAUUCAUAUGGUUAUCAUGGAGAUGAUGGCCAUUCAUUUUGCUCAAGUGGCACAGGUCAACCAUAUGGACCUACAUUUACCACUGGCGAUAUUAUUGGUUGUGGAGUUGAUCUUGUGCACAACCAUUGUUUUUAUACUAAAAAUGGAACUCAUUUAGGAACAGCAUUUACUGACCUUCCUCCAAAUUUAUUUCCUACAGUUGGUUUACAAACACCUGGUGAGGUUGUUGAUGCCAAUUUUGGACAGUUGCCAUUUGUGUUCAAAAUCGAAGAAAUGAUGAAAGAGCUCAGAAACCAAACACAAAUGACCAUUCAAAAUUAUCCUUUUUCUUAUCCCUAUUCACAGUGCCAGACAAAUUUCCAUAAAAUGGUUUCUACUUAUUUAGUACACCAAGGUUUCUGUGCAACUGCAGAAGCAUUUAUUUCUCAAACUGACCAAUCGUUUGAAGAAGAGAUUGCUUCCAUAAAAAACCGCCAAAAAAUAUUAAAAUUAGUAUCAACUGGUCGAAUGGGAGAAGCUAUUGAAAUGACCAAUAAACUUUAUCCUGGGUUACUUGAAACGAAUCGUAACCUUUUAUUUAAGCUCAAAUGUCGUCAGUUUGUUGAAAUGGUUAAUGGUACAGAUUCUGAAGUAGCACCUCGUUUUCAUGAAAAUGUUGAAGUUCAAACAACAAUUCGUCCUUCUCCAAAACGUACUUUACAGUCAAAUCGAAGUCCAACAUCUAUACAAACUAAUGGAAGUAUAAAAUGUCAAAAAUUAUCAAAUACAAUUGAAGUGACUGAAAUGAAUUCGGUAAAUUUGAUAUUAAAUGGAUCUUCAGAUGCAACUACAGUUAAAACAAUAAAAAAUGGUACACCGAAAAUUAAUGACUACCAAUUAGAAAAAAUGGAUUGCAACGAAGAUAACCAAACGACUGAUUAUAUUAUGUCACCAGAAAGUGUUAAUGGACAUCAUAAUAACCAUUCAGAUGAAGAUUAUAAUUCUAAUGGUUAUCACAAUGGACAUACUUGUGAUGAACUAAGUAAUGGUACAUCAAGAGUUAGUGAUAAUGGAAAUGAAGAAUCAAUGGAAAUUGAUCAACCAGAAUAUCUCCAAACUACCAAAAAGGUAUGUGGCGGCAGUAAACCUGGUAUUGAAAAGAUGUUAGAAUUUGGCCGUGAAUUAUUCCUACUUAGUUUGCAACUACGAGAAGAAUUAGGAAGAAAUGAAACUAAUAAAAAAAUGCUUCAAGAUGCAUUUAGUUUGUUAGCAUAUUCUAAUCCUUGGGAUAGUCCUGUUGGUUGGCAGCUAGAAGCCACUCAAAGAGAUAGUGUAUGUGCUGCACUGAAUUCCGCUAUUUUAGAAUCGAGUAAUUUACCAAGACGUCCACCUCUGGAAAUGACUGUUGGUCAUGCCUAUGAACUAGUCAAGCUGAUGGCAGCGUCUAGUAUGGGAGCGUGUGCCUUUACCAAUAUUGAUGAAAUGCUCAAAUGACCUUCGUGUACUGUGUGCGUCUCACUGCCACCAUUCUGCAGGUACUUACUAAAAGUUCAAAAUGAUUGGCCGCCAAUUUUGAAUACAAUGACAAUGGCAAAAGUACUUUAAGAGCGGCCACAUCAACCAUUAAAAUAAAUAUUAUGUACAAAAAAAAAAAAAAUAAAAAAAAUUUAUUGACAAUUACAUUUUUCUAUA
rnacentral:misc_RNA from 1 species